rnacentral:rRNA from 1 species
AGAGCUCAAAUUUAAAAUCUGGCAUUCUUCUGGCUGUCCGAGUUGUAAUCUGGAGAAGCGUUUUCUGUGUUAGACCGUGUACAAGUCUCCUGGAACGGAGCGUCAUAGAGGGUGAGAAUCCCGUCCAUGGCACGGACUACUAAUACUUUGUGAUACGCUCUCGAAGAGUCGAGUUGUUUGGGAAUGCAGCUCAAAAUGGGUGGUAAAUUCCAUCUAAAGCUAAAUACAGGCGAGAGACCGAUAGCGAACAAGUACCGUGAGGGAAAGAUGAAAAGCACUUUGGAAAGAGAGUUAAACAGUACGUGAAAUUGUUGAAAGGGAAACGCUUGAAGUCAGUCGCGUUGCGCAGAACUCANCCUUGCCUUGGCUUGGUGUACUUUCUGCACAACGGGUCAACAUCAAUUUUGGCCCAUGGAGAAAGGUGGGGGGAAUGUAGCGCUGUUUCKKCAGCGUGUUAUAGCCCCUCAUUGUAUACAUGGGCUGGGAWUGAGGAACACAGCACGCCCUWGUGGCCGGGGGGUUUGCUCCACGUACCGUGMUUAGGAUGUUGGCAGAAUGGCUUUAAGCGACCCGUCUUGAAACACGGACCAAKGAGUCUAACAUGCUUGCGAGUGUUCGGGUGGAAAACCCUUGUGCAUAAUGAAAGUGAAAGUUGGGAACCUCCGCAAKGGGGUGCACCGACGCCCGGCCCUGACGUUCUCUGACGGUGCUGCGGUAGAGCAAGUAUGCUAGGACCCGAAAGAUGGUGAACUAUGCCUGAAUAGGGCGAAGCCAGAGGAAACUCUGGUGGAGGAUCGUAGCGAUUCUGACGUGCAAAUCGAUCGUCAAAUU